CGAGCUCGAUGGCUAUCGUCGGCACUAUCGGCAGCUGGACCCCUCGCAGUCCGGCCAUGCGGAUAUCGCUGCUACCAAGGCGUUCUUCGAAGCCUCGGGGCUUCCCAUCGCCGAGCUCUCCGCCAUCUACGCCAUGGCAGAUCUGGACCACGAUGGUCAGCUCUCGGAGCCGGA
rnacentral:SRP_RNA from 1 species